rnacentral:rRNA from 1 species
GACAGAGGGUGCAAACGUUGUUCGGAAUUACUGGGCGGAAAGCGCGUGUAGGCGGCCCUGCAAGUCGGGUGUGAAAUCCCACGGCUCAACCGUGGAAGUGCACUCGAAACUGCAGGGCUAGAGUCCUGGAGAGGAAGGUGGAAUGCUUGGUGUAGAGGUGAAAUUCGUAGAUAUCAAGCGGAACACCGGUGGCGAAGGCGGCCUUCUGGACAGUGACUGACGCUGAGACGCGAAAGCGUGGGGAGCAAACAGG